rnacentral:rRNA from 1 species
CCUACGGGAGACAGCAGUGAGGAAUAUUGGUCAAUGGACGAGAGUCUGAACCAGCCAAGUAGCGUGAAGGAUGACUGCCCUAUGGGUUGUAAACUUCUUUUAUAAAGGAAUAAAACGAGGCACGUGUGCCUUUUUGCAUGUACUUUAUGAAUAAGGAUCGGCUAACUCCGUGCCAGCAGCCGCGGUAAUACGGGGGGUGCAAGCGUUGUCCGGAAUCAUUGGGCGUAAAGAGUUCGUAGGUGGCAAGUUAAGUCUGGUGUUAAAGGCGGAAGCUCAACUGCCGUAGGGCACUGGAAACUGGCGGGCUUGAGUGCGGUAGAGGUAGAGGGAAUGCCUGGUGUAGCGGUGAAAUGCGUAGAUAUCAGGAAGAACAUCGGUUGCGUAAGCGCUUUACUGGGCCGUAAUUGACACUGAGGAACGAAAGCCUGGGUAGCAAAUGGGAUUAGAUACCCGAGUAGUC